rnacentral:piRNA from 1 species
UAAGAAAUUUGGAUUUCAUUCUGACGCUU